rnacentral:rRNA from 1 species
UCUCUCCUGAGAUUUUCAUUAAACAUUUAUGGCUAUUAGAUGGGUAUGCGUCCUAUUAGUUAGUUGGUAAGGUAACGGCUUACCAAGGCAGCGAUAGGUAGGGGUCCUGAGAGGGAGAUCCCCCACACUGGUACUGAGACACGGACCAGACUCCUACGGGAGGCAGCAGUGAGGAAUAUUGGACAAUGGGCGAGAGCCUGAUCCAGCCAUGCCGCGUGCAGGAAGACUGCCCUAUGGGUUGUAAACUGCUUUUACAGAGGAAGAACCACCCCCACGUGUGGGGGUUUGACGGUACUCUGCGAAUAAGGAUCGGCUAACUCCGUGCCAGCAGCCGCGGUAAUACGGAGGAUCCAAGCGUUAUCCGGAAUCAUUGGGUUUAAAGGGUCCGUAGGCGGGCAGUUAAGUCAGUGGUGAAAGUCUUCCGCUCAACGGGAGAACUGCCAUUGAUACUGAUUGUCUUGAGUUAUUAUGAAGUGGUUAGAAUGAGUAGUGUAGCGGUGAAAUGCAUAGAUAUUACUCAGAAUACCGAUUGCGAAGGCAGAUCACUAAUAAUAUACUGACGCUGAUGGACGAAAGCGUAGGUAGCGAACAGGAUUAGAUACCCUGGUAGUCUACGCCGUAAACGAUGGUUACUAGCUGUUCGGAUCGAUUGAGAUCUGAGUGGUUAAGCGAAAGUGAUAAGUAACCCACCUGGGGAGUACGUUCGCAAGAAUGAAACUCAAAGGAAUUGACGGGGGCCCGCACAAGCGGUGGAGCAUGUGGUUUAAUUCGAUGAUACGCGAGGAACCUUACCAGGGCUUAAAUGUAGUCUGACAGGGGUGGAAACACUCUUUUCUUCGGACAGAUUACAAGGUGCUGCAUGGUUGUCGUCAGCUCGUGCCGUGAGGUGUCAGGUUAAGUCCUAUAACGAGCGCAACCCCUGUGGUUAGUUGCCAGCGAGUAAUGUCGGGAACUCUAGCCAGACNGCCGGUGCAAACCGCGAGGAAGGUGGGGAUGACGUCAAAUCAUCACGGCCCUUACGUCCUGGGCCACACACGUGCUACAAUGGUAGGGACAGAGAGCAGCCACUUCGCGAGAAGGAGCGAAUCUACAAACCCUAUCACAGUUCGGAUCGCAGUCUGCAACUCGACUGCGUGAAGCUGGAAUCGCUAGUAAUCGCAUAUCAGCCAUGAUGCGGUGAAUACGUUCCCGGGCCUUGUACACACCGCCCGUCAAGCCAUGGAAGCCGGGGGUACCNNAAGUCGGUCACCGCAAGGA